rnacentral:rRNA from 1 species
GGUGAAAAGCACCCCGGAAGGGGAGUGAAAUAGAACCUGAAACCGUGUGCUUACAAGUAGUCAGAGCCCGUUAAUGGGUGAUGGCGUGCCUUUUGUAGAAUGAACCGGCGAGUUACGAUUUGAUGCAAGGUUAAGCAGUAAAUGUGGAGCCGUAGCGAAAGCGAGUCUGAAUAGGGCGUUUAGUAUUUGGUCGUAGACCCGAAACCAGGUGAUCUACCCUUGGUCAGGUUGAAGUUCAGGUAACACUGAAUGGAGGACCGAACCGACUUACGUUGAAAAGUGAGCGGAUGAACUGAGGGUAGCGGAGAAAUUCCAAUCGAACCUGGAGAUAGCUGGUUCUCUCCGAAAUAGCUUUAGGGCUAGCCUCAAGUGAUGAUUAUUGGAGGUAGAGCACUGUUUGGACGAGGGGCCCCUCUCGGGUUACCGAAUUCAGACAAACUCCGAAUGCCAAUUAAUUUAACUUGGGAGUCAGAACAUGGGUGAUAAGGUCCGUGUUCGAAAGGGAAACAGCCCAGACCACCAGCUAAGGUCCCAAAAUAUAUGUUAAGUGGAAAAGGAUGUGGCGUUGCCCAGACAACUAGGAUGUUGGCUUAGAAGCAGCCAUCAUUUAAAGAGUGCGUAAUAGCUCACUAGUCGAGUGACACUGCGCCGAAAAUGUACCGGGGCUAAACAUAUUACCGAAGCUGUGGAUUGUCCUUUGGACAAUGGUAGGAGAGCGUUCUAAGGGCGUUGAAGCAUGAUCGUAAGGACAUGUGGAGCGCUUAGAAGUGAGAAUGCCGGUGUGAGUAGCGAAAGACGGGUGAGAAUCCCGUCCACCGAUUGACUAAGGUUUCCAGAGGAAGGCUCGUCCGCUCUGGGUUAGUCGGGUCCUAAGCUGAGGCCGACAGGCGUAGGCGAUGGAUAACAGGUUGAUAUUCCUGUACCACCUAUAAUCGUUUUAAUCGAUGGGGGGACGCAGUAGGAUAGGCGAAGCGUGCGAUUGGAUUGCACGUCUAAGCAGUAAGGCUGAGUAUUAGGCAAAUCCGGUACUCGUUAAGGCUGAGCUGUGAUGGGGAGAAGACAUUGUGUCUUCGAGUCGUUGAUUUCACACUGCCGAGAAAAGCCUCUAGAUAGAAAAUAGGUGCCCGUACCGCAAACCGACACAGGUAGUCAAGAUGAGAAUUCUAAGGUGAGCGAGCGAACUCUCGUUAAGGAACUCGGCAAAAUGACCCCGUAACUUCGGGAGAAGGGGUGCUCUUUAGGGUUAACGCCCAGAAGAGCCGCAGUGAAUAGGCCCAAGCGACUGUUUAUCAAAAACACAGGUCUCUGCUAAACCGUAAGGUGAUGUAUAGGGGCUGACGCCUGCCCGGUGCUGGAAGGUUAAGAGGAGUGGUUAGCUUCUGCGAAGCUACGAAUCGAAGCCCCAGUAAACGGCGGCCGUAACUAUAACGGUCCUAAGGUAGCGAAAUUCCUUGUCGGGUAAGUUCCGACCCGCACGAAAGGCGUAACGAUUUGGGCACUGUCUCAACGAGAGACUCGGUGAAAUCAUAGUACCUGUGAAGAUGCAGGUUACCCGCGACAGGACGGAAAGACCCCGUGGAGCUUUACUGUAGCCUGAUAUUGAAAUUCGGCACAGCUUGUACAGGAUAGGUAGGAGCCUUUGAAACGUGAGCGCUAGCUUACGUGGAGGCGCUGGUGGG